CCGAAUAUAGCGGAAAUAGGUGUUCCGGCCAAGAUUGGCCGGAGCUUAAAAGGGAAGUCCGGUGCAAUGCCGGCGCGGUCCCGCCACUGUAACGGAGGAGUCGGAUGUGUGAGAUGCCACUGGUGAUGUAAUCAUUGGGAAGGUCACAUCCGGCGAUGAUGCCGAAGCCAGGAGACCUGCCUAUUUCGACAGCACUGC
rnacentral:ncRNA from 2 species